GGAGAGGUGCCAGAGCGGUUGAUAGGGACGGUCUCGAAAACCGUUGUUCGUUUACGCGGACCGAGGGUUCGAAUCCCUCCCUCUCCG
rnacentral:tRNA from 1 species